GAAGUAGAGUGGUGCUGUAUACAUUCUUUUAGAUUUUCUUAUGAAUGACAUCAUACUGGUUACUUGGAAACAAUGAUGCUUUGAAGAACCUGUGAGCACUGUGUAUUUCCAUUAGGAAAUACAUGGAUUUUUUGUAUAAUCCUUUUCUUCUAAAGGCCUGCUGAUGUCUUCAGAUCACAGGGGAACACUUGAAAACAAAAUUAGCCAUUUUAAAAGAGAACUGCAAGAAUCUAUAUCAACCAGCAUAUUUGAGAGGAAUCUGCCCAAUACACAAUGUCUACUUUUGGAGAGGAAGAGGCGGAAGAAGGAGAAGCAUAUGAAGAUUUUGAAGAAGCCCCAAGUGAACCACUUGUACCUGAACAAGAUCCUAAAGGCACACAAGAAUCCACUCCAGUAAGCUGCUGCUGUCUUCUGUGGAGUGUCAUCUGGUUGGCUGUAUUGGUUGCUUUUGCCUGGCCUUUGAGUGUGGCUAUGGCAGCCCUUUAUGGAUUUGUGGCACCUCUGAUUACCCUCAUAGGCCUGGAUGAUAUCAGUGAUUCUAUGUUGCAAGCAGUAAAUUUGGGAAGACAGUGUGCACGCAACGUCAGAGCUGGCAGGCCCAUGGUUUGAAGAAAAGUCCUCACAGCACUUACUAUUCCAUGCCUUCUCCAGUCUGCUUCCUUCCCAUGAAUUUACUGCUAGUGUUCACCUGUGUCUUUACCUCUAAUAUUAAAAAACACUUAUUUCAAUAUAAAACUGGCUCCAUGACAUUUAUACCUGAUCUUAUAUUCAAUCCACACAUGUAGAAAUAUAAUAAAUCUGUACCACUUAAAUUCUAGGAGCCUACUGAAAGAUGUGUACUGAGUAGUGGGAGGAAGGGAAUGAUUUUUCUAACUAGCUGUUGAUGUUGCUCUUAUCCAAGUUCAUAGUGGAAUUGUGUGUGCAUAGAGUAUGUGCAUGCAUGAGAAAACAGUUUUCGACUUACAUUGCAUUAUUUAUCUUCUUGUGUUCUGCAACCAUAAACUGUAUUCCUUUCUUUUGAAUCUCUCUUGAUGACAGUAAGACAAAAAGGAUAUUUGUGUGUUUGAUUUGAUUUUAGUUCAGAUGGCAAUCAGGGGAUGUGGUUGAUUCCAGCUCAGUUUGGUACUGAAUUUGCUCCUAGUUUUCAUGCAAACUUUAAAACCACUAUUCUCUAAAAUAUAUCCAGCUACUUGAAUAGCUUUUAUAAAGUUUGGAUUAAAGCUUGACAUGGAACCUAGUACCCCCCCUCGUGGCAAACUUUGUGUAUGUAUAAAGCAGAGAGGAAAACAUGAUGUAUUUUCUUUAGAUAUAGCUUUGAGGGAUGAUUCCCCCUGACAUGAGCAUCAAUCUUCUACUCAAGAAACAAAACGGCUUUCUUGAGAUGAAAGUGAACUCCAUUCUAACAAGUUUUUUCCAAAGGAGGGAUCAUUCCUUCUGGCAUGAUUCAUAGGACUUGUCUGCAAGGGCGAACUGUCAUUGAGGAGAAAGCUGAAUUCCUUGGGAUUUAUGCGAACUGUAACAGACACUGUGAAAAGACUUAGACCUGUUUCUGAUCCCAGAUUAUCUGUUUUGAACUGGAUUCAUAUAAUCCAGUUCAAAACAGAUAAUCUGGGGUCAGAUACUGGAUUAUGUGACAGUGUAGAUCCAGCCUCAGCUGCUAUAAACGGGAGAGUAAUCUAUUAUUAACGAGUUUUCAUUUCAAAGGAAGUCGAUGAGCGAUGCCAACUGUUAGUGUUUGGGUGGUGAUUGUAUUUCAGUAUGUUCCAGGGGUCCCUUUUCUGGUCACUUGGGGAAGGAUGGCUUUCCCUUCCCCUAUAUUUCAUAUAAUUAUUUCUCAUUGUGAUGUGAGGGGAUUUCAUAUAAUGCCUCAAUGAGGAAACACCACGUGAAGGAAGUUCCAUUGAUUAUCUCUGCAAUCUUUUGCCAUCUUGCCCCAAGUACUGAACUUUCAACUUUCAUUGGUAGGAGUCCGAUGUGCAUAUUGGAGAACAACCAUAGAGCCCAUGUGUGAGAGAAAUGACACUGAUUGGACUAGAUUCCCUUGUGUGAAACAUUUUUAUGAGUACAGAUAAAACUCCUUCCAUGAUAACACUGAACAUGCUAUUGCCACAGGAGCAUGGAGGUACAGUGUCAUAACAGGGACAGAUGUUAUCCAUGCAGUCAUGAAACCCUCUUUGUGUAUCUUGAUAUAGAAGAGGCCAUGUGGAUAACUGAUGGAAUUUAGCUGCUUUGAGUCUCCUGGAAUAUUAUUAUAAUAUAAUUAUUAUUAAUAAUAUUAGUACUUAUGCAGGAUAAUGCCGGUUAUCUAUUUUACCCUUAGUCAAUGCAAGAGUAUUGCAAUCCAUGGCAGAUGCCCAUCCAGCUUCUGCUUAAACAUUUCCAGUGAAAAAAUGCUCAUCAAUAAUCCCAAAUAGUUUGUAGCAGAGUAGUUUCUGGUUAUUGGUGGCUGUCAAGCCUAACCACCUUAUAGGAUUGUUGUGAGGAUAAAAUGGUUAGAGGAGAGAAUUAUUUGCAUCAGCCUCGGGUCCCUGAGAGGAAGGGGAAAUUGGGGAGGGGAGGCAAAAAGCAAAACAAUAUCUCUAAACUGUAAAACCAAAAUCCAUCAAAACUUUACUUUUGUAUUAUGUUCUGUAAAUGGAUACUUGCUUUGACUGCCUGUUAAAUAAUGUACAUGCAUAUUAAUAAAAUAUAUUUGCACAUUACAUACUUUAAAUGCUUCUGACUGAAAUCUUUUUGUUUCUUUAUGUUAGCGCACAAGAACCAACUUCAAUAGGCUGCUGCUGUCUUCUGUGGAGUCUCAUCUGGUUGGCUAUAUUGGCUGUUUUUGCUUGGCCCUUCAGUGUGGCUAUGGCAACCCUUUACGGAUUUGUGGCACCCCUGAUUACCCUCAUAGGCCUGGAUGAUAUGAGUGAACCUAUGUUGCAAGCAGUAAAUGUGGGAAGACAGUGUGCACGCAACGUCAGAACUGGCAGCCCUAUGAUCUGAAGAAAGGGUCUCAAAGACUUUAGAGUUCCAUGCCUUUUUUCCUGAUUUUGUGUGUAUUUAUACCUAACAUCACCUGUAGCUUUUUUUUUCAGUAUUUCAUUAAAAAUAUUUAUUUCAAUAGCAAA